rnacentral:lncRNA from 12 species
GGGGGGGGGGGGGGGGGGGGGGGGGGGGGGGGGGGGGGGGGGGGGGGGGGGGGGGGGGCGGGCAGCACCCCUCCCCUUCCUUUUCAAAAAAAUACCUCCCUCCCUGUAAAAAAACGCUCUUUCCUUGCCGUAAGGCCUGAGGAGAAAGCUCCGCUUGAGCUUGCUUGUCCCAAGCGGCCCAGGCACCCCUCAUUACCCCGAACGUCCCUCUUGCACCCAGCACGCCUUCGUGGCCAGCGAUUUCAAGUACGCGCCAGAGCUGUUCUCACUCGGGGGGUUUCAGGGAACCUUGACGUGUUGAGGAGGUGUUUGCUGUCAGGGGGAGGAAAGGAAAAUUUCGGGAAACUUAGACAUGGACUGAAGACAUUAAGUUAAAAUGAGAGCUAAAGCCACCCAAAAAGAUACUGGCAUUUUAAAAGAGGACAAUUAAGGAAAAUACUUGUUUUGCUGUUCUUAGAGCCAAAUUUGUCAAGAGACAAUUACUUAAGAAAAAUACUUGUUUUGCUGUUCUUAGAGCCAAAUUUGUCAAGAAAUUG